UACAGAGGGGGCGAGCGUUGUUCGGAAUUACUGGGCGUAAAGGGCGCGUAGGCGGCCUGCUAAGUCGGACGUGAAAUCCCUCGGCUCAACCGGGGAACUGCGUCCGAUACUGGUUGGCUUGAAUUCGGGAGAGGGAUGCGGAAUUCCAGGUGUAGCGGUGAAAUGCGUAGAUAUCUGGAGGAACACCGGUGGCGAAGGCGGCAUCCUGGACCGAGAUUGACGCUGAUGCGCGAAAGCUAGGGGAGCAAACGGG
rnacentral:rRNA from 1 species